rnacentral:rRNA from 1 species
GACGAACGCUGGCGGCGUGCUUAACACAUGCAAGUCGAACGGAAAGGCCCUGCUUUUGUGGGGUGCUCGAGUGGCGAACGGGUGAGUAACACGUGAGUAACCUGCCCUUGACUUUGGGAUAACUUCAGGAAACUGGGGCUAAUACCGGAUAGGAGCUCCUGCUGCUUGGUGGGGGUUGGAAAGUUUCGGCGGUUGGGGAUGGACUCGCGGCUUAUCAGCUUGUUGGUGGGGUAGUGUCUUACCAAGGCUUUGACGGGUAGCCGGCCUGAGAGGGUGACCGGCCACGUUGGAGCUGAGAUACGGCCCGGACUCGUACGGGAGGCAGCGGUGGGGGAUAGUGCACAAUGGGCGGAAGCCUGAUGGAGCAACGCCGCGUGCGGGAUGACGGCCUUCGGGUUGUGGAGCACUUUCGCCUGUGGCGAAGCGUGAGAGACGGUAAUGGGGAAAGAAGCACCGGCUAACUACGUG